rnacentral:miRNA from 1 species
UCCACUGUUGCGUUUUUCAUACGCACGUAUACGCACGUAAAACUUUAAAUCCGUUUAAAUGUUACUUAUGAAAUAACCAAAUAAAUAAAGCAACAGAAUUUAGUGUUCCGCAAGUUUUAGUAUGCAUUUGUUAACUUAUUUGGAAAAUAUUUAAAAAAUAGAAGGAUUCAAAGUUUUAUGUGCGUGUACGUGCGUACGAAAAACGCAACAGUGGA